CUUUCCUUUGUUUUUGUUCUAUCUGGGCUCCUAGCCUAUUGCUCACCCACAAUGAGACAGGAUCUCCCUACUGCAUCCAUUGACUCACAUGCCAAUCUAUACUCCCAAAUAAUGCUGUAUUAGUUCUCUUGGUAUUCCUUAACUCAGUGAAGGAGACACCUAGAAUUAAUUAACACAGCACUGAUUUUCCCAGGACUAAGCCAUUUCCAAGGACUUUUGGAGCUAAAGUCAAGUCACUCCAGGCUGAGUCAGCUGGUCCUUCUGCUCAGCUCCACUCUUGAUCACCUCAACUCCAACAGACAUUGAGGGUCUUCCCAGUUUUCGGGCAUCUUCUUGUAAGGGUGCAAGCAAAGUAAGUACCUGUGGCCAAAGAAUGGAAAGUCAUGAGUUCCUGGGCAAGAAGUCAUCUACCAUAGAUAAGCUCUGUGGUUUAAUUCUCCCUCGUUUCAAAGGCAAGAGAUCGCAACACUGACAGAGGCAGGAAAGCACUGUGGGAAGGGAAGGAGCGUCAGACUCUGGGACGCCCUUUACAGCAACAAAAUCCCUGAAGUCUAGGUAGGCAUGUGGCUGCUGAAAAUAAAAAGUACAUUUCCCAGAAUCCCAUUUGAUUCCAUUCUGGCCAAUCAAUUGGGCAUAAGCCAAAGUUGUGGAAGCAAGUUCCAGGAAGUGUCCUUAAAGAAGAAGGAUAAAAUACUUGAGGCUGAAGAAGGUAUGAUUCACCUCGGUCAUGGAACAAAGGCACAGUGAGACUACAAUCAGAUGUGUUCUGCCUGUUCAGUCAGCCACCUGAAGCUGACCCCCGGAGGUGGAGCGUUAGCAGAUGGUCUCCAAAGGCAUUUUCUGGUAAAAGACAAGCUAUGGUCCUCCACCGCAAGCUUGUUUCCAAGUCUCAGGGAUGUUCUCAGGUCCAUUAAUAAUACUCUCUUUUUUUGGUAAUAAAUUUGUAAAUUAAUACAAUAAA